rnacentral:tRNA from 1 species
UCAAUUGGUUAGAGCAGGGGCCUCUUAAGCCCAAGGUUCCGGGUUUGAUUCCCGGGCGGCGCACGA